rnacentral:rRNA from 1 species
UCCCCACCUACGCUUGCGGCAGGCUAACACAUUCAAGUCGAACGGUACAGGAAGCAGCUUGCUGCUUUGCUGACGAGUGGGUGGUGAGUAAUGUCUGGGAAACUGCCUGAUGGAGGGGGAUAACUACUGGAAACGGUAGCUAAUACCGCAUAACGUCGCAAGACCAAAGAGGGGGACCUUCGGGCCUCUUGCCAUCGGAUGUGCCCAGAUGGGAUUAGCUAGUACGUGGGGUAACGGCUCACCUAUGCGACGAUCCCCUAGCUGGUCUGAGAGGAUGAACAGACACACUGGAACUGAGACACUGUCCAGACUCCUACGGGAGGCAGCAGUGGGGAAUAUUUGCACAAUAGGGACGCAAAGCCUGAAUGC